UCAGGAUGAACGCUAGCUACAGGCUUAACACAUGCAAGUCGAGGGGCAGCAUUGGGAUAGCUUGCUAUUCAGAUGGCGACCGGCGCACGGGUGAGUAACGCGUAUCCAACCUUCCUGCCAGUAGGGAACAGCCCGGCGAAAGUCGGAUUAAUGCCCUAUGUUCUUCAAUGCGGACAUCUAAGUUGAAGGAAAGAUUCAUCGCUGGCAGAUGGGGAUGCGUCCGAUUAGCUUGCCGGCGGGGUAACGGCCCACCGGGGCGACGAUCGGUAGGGGUUCUGAGAGGAAGGUCCCCCACACUGGUACUGAGACACGGACCAGACUCCUACGGGAGGCAGCAGUGAGGAAUAUUGGUCAAUGGGCGUAAGCCUGAACCAGCCAAGUAGCGUGCAAGGAUGACGGCCCUACGGGUUGUAAACUGCUUUUAUGCGGGGAUAAAGUGCGGCACGUGUGCCGCUUUGCAGGUACCGCAUGAAUAAGGACCGGCUAAUUCCGUGCCAGCCGCCGC
rnacentral:rRNA from 1 species